UUGUGUGUGAGGAGUAAGUUCAAUAGAAGAAGGUUUUGGGGUCGAAACACGGAAAGACUCCCGGAACCUUUUUCUUU
rfam:Xenococcus sp. PCC 7305 scaffold_00161, whole genome shotgun sequence.